UUCAAUGGUUUCUCCGUGAAUUUUGGGCUCUUGGAAGUUCUGGGAAGGAUGUCUAAUCUAUACAGUUCGUUCGAUUCAAGUUGCAGGUUUUUUUAUGGUUUCCUGAUGAUUUUUGGCAGAAGGCUAAUGGAAGUUUGAAAGGAUGUCUAUUCUAUGCCAGUUCACGUGUAAUGCAGCUGCUGACAAAAUGACGAACCAGUCCAGUGAUUAUGUUCAACUAUUCAAGAUGUAAUCUGCGGAUUGGCGUUUGGAAUUACAAAGAGUAUUUCGGUGUUGAUCUACGUUUUCAAGAAAGAAUACGAAAUUGAUUGUCGAAGAAUAUUAUUUCGAGAAAUACUCCACUUUCGAGACGAACGUGUUACGUGCAAGAAAACCAAGCAAGUGAUCGAUCAAUUAAACGAGCAAAUUAAGUCGACGAUUGACGACGAGAGGCUGAGCCAAGCAGCCAACUUGAAAAUUCGCCUCCAGCAGACCCGAAGGAUUUCCGCCUCGUUUUGUUCGGAGUUAUGAAAAUUCCACGCAGGAGAUGAGGAAGAGUUGCAGAAUAGUCUAUGGUAAGUCGUAACUUGAACAUGUUUCCUAUUUUAAGUUAAUAAAAUAUGUUUCGCUCCUUCCUUAUUCUGAUGUGUAGAUUGAGUGUGUCAUAAUUAGGUAGAUAACCCCAAUUGAAUGUUGCAUUGCUUGCUUUGUUUUACCACUAUUCAUUUCAUUUCGUUCCUCUCGCCGCCCCUCUAGAUGACUUUUUCGAAAAAGUGUUUUG